UACGUAGGGGGCAAGCGUUGUCCGGAAUCAUUGGGCGUAAAGAGCGUGUAGGCGGCCCGGUCAGUCCGCCGUGAAAGUCCAGGGCUCAACCCUGGAAUGCCGGUGGAUACUGCCGGGCUGGAGUCCGGAAGAGGCGAGUGGAACUCCUGGUGUAGCGGUGGAAUGCGCAGAUAUCAGGAAGAACACCAACGGCGAAGGCAGCUCGCUGGGACGGUACUGACGCUGAGACGCGAAAGCGUGGGGGAGCGAACAGG
rnacentral:rRNA from 1 species